GACGAACGCUGGCGGCGUGCUUAACACAUGCAAGUCGAACGAAGUGGCGAACGGGUGAGUAACGCGUAAUCAACCUGCCCUUCAGAGGGGGACAACAGUUGGAACCGACUGCUAAUACCGCAUACUGAAGGAGGGGAUUGCGUCUGAUUGGCUCGUUGGAGGGGUAACGGCCCACCAAGGCGAUGAUCAGUAGCCGGGUUGAGAGGGUGAACGGCCAAAUUGGGACUGAGACACGGCCCAGACUCCUACGGGAGGCAGCAGGGGGGAAUCUUCCGCAAUGGAGGAAAGUCUGACGGAGCAAAGCCGCGGGAGGGAUGACGGCCUUCGGGUUGUAAAGCUCUGUUAAUCGGGACGCGGUACCGGAAUAGAAAGCCACGGCUAACUACGUGCCAGCAGCCGCGGUAAUAC
rnacentral:rRNA from 1 species